UAUAUAUACCUCUUCGGAUGUCC
rnacentral:siRNA from 1 species